rnacentral:rRNA from 1 species
AACGAACGCUGGCGGCAGGCUUAACACAUGCAAGUCGAACGGUUGUAGCAAUACAGCAGUGGCAGACGGGUGAGUAACACGUGGGAACCUUCCUAGGGGUACGGAACAACUCAGGGAAACUUGAGCUAAUACCGUAUACGUCCGUGAGGAGAAAGAUUUAUCGCCCUUAGACGGGCCCGCGUCGGAUUAGCUAGUUGGUGGGGUAACGGCCUACCAAGGCGACGAUCCGUAGCUGAUCUUAGAGGAUGAUCAGCCACACUGGGACUGAGACACGGCCCAGACUCCUACGGGAGGCAGCAGUGGGGAAUCUUGGACAAUGGGCGCAACCCUGAUCCAGCCAUUCCGCGUGAGUGAAGAAGGCCUCGGUUGUAAGACUCUUUCUAGCUGGAACGAAACGGUAACG